ensembl:snRNA U6 U6 spliceosomal RNA
GUGUUGCUUUGGCAGCUCGUAUACUGAAAUAGGAGAUUAGCAUGGCCUCUGCUCAAGAACAACAUGUAAAUUCAUGAAGCGUUCCAUUUUUUU